UCCGUAAGUACUGGUCCGUACUGCGAAGUGGAACCCACCAGCAAGUCAGUUGAUGGAUUCAAACCGCCCAACAUCUUUCCUCAUAGCAACGCGUAUAUAAGAUAAAGAAACGAACGUACGAGCCAAGACUUGGAUGACUUCCGCCAUUCCACCUCUUGGAGAUUUACCACGACGGAAGAAACGCAACCAAGCCCAACCAAAGCCCAAUAGAAGUCCUACUAAAAUCAUGCUAGCACUUAAGGCUAUGGAACUUUUUGCUGCAUCUUCAAUAUGUUCUUCAAUGCUUGUUGCAGAUGUUGUUGGAUGUUCAUUUACCUUUUUAUAUAAAUUAUUUUCUAAUUUAAUUUCAUAUAUAUAUAUUUCAUGAGUAUAUUUCUAUAUGUAUAUAGAUAUAUAUAAUAAAAUACAUAUAAUACAAUAACAUAA